CACGCUUUGGUUACCUAGCAACUCCCUCAUUCUUCGGUCACCUAGCGACAGCCUGUUGAGUAACUUGCACCGCAGCAGUUUAAGAAGAUCCUGCUGCAGGUCCCAUUGCGACGUUUUGGAGAUGACGGGGAAUGUUUUCUGAGUCUUACAGACCGUUUGCUCUUGGGAGGAAUUUGCCUGGACAGCCAGUUUUGAAUUUUCUCAACUUGUUCACCAUUUUCAGCACGGUGUUUUCAAACUCUGUUGAGACCUCUUUAAAUCUCUUACCAGACUCUUAAGCUGCUGCACAGUUCCUCCUGCAGGCCUCCAGACAGCUCUUUGGAUCCCAUUAUGGAGUUUCCUCUCUGUUCAAUGGCCUGUGUGUGAUUGUAGCCACUUUCAGUGGGAACAAAUGUAGGACUGUUUUAUCACCAGAAAAGCAUUAUUUUAAAAUAUCUUUAGUUUUUGAAUUGUUUGAGUAACUUGAAUUGUUGAAAUUUACGCCCAAACAUAUAGAAAAACACGUCGGCUGUCUUAUGUGUCCCUUUUUGUUUGCAUACACCACCAUUAAUAUUUGGAUAAAUGUUCUUUACACUGUUGAGCUUUGACUUUAUGGGUUUUGUAGAGAUUAAUAAGCUGAAGGCAUAAUUGUGGCUGAAUAUUUGACUAUCACAAACGUUGGAGCUCAUUUGAAUCGACUGGUUUCCUGGCACUGAUUCGACUUUUAUGCAAAGUUAGUUAAGUUGCUACAGGGUUGAGGUGCGGUACGUUCCAGAAGUUUAACAUUAGUCUGCUUUAACUAGUCCAACGGCGGACAGAUGCAAAUUGUUCAACAAAACAGAGUGUCUUCAGUCAGAGGCUUCUUCAGAUCGGCUGUAGUACAGACCUCUACAACAGCCAUCACCAUCUACAGUUAGUCUUUGAAGACUUUGAAUUAAUGGGUUACAGUAACAUUUAAUUUCCCUUUGGGAUCAAUAAAGUACUUUUCAAUUGAA